rnacentral:rRNA from 1 species
AGUGAACGCUGGCGGUAGGCCUAACACAUGCAAGUCGAACGGCAGCACAGUAAGAGCUUGCUCUUACGGGUGGCGAGUGGCGGACGGGUGAGGAAUACAUCGGAAUCUACUUUUUCGUGGGGGAUAACGUAGGGAAACUUACGCUAAUACCGCAUACGACCUACGGGUGAAAGCAGGGGAUCUUCGGACCUUGCGCGAUUGAAUGAGCCGAUGUCGGAUUAGCCAGUUGGCGGGGUAAAGGCCCACCAAGGCGACGAUCCGUAGCUGGUCUGAGAGGAUGAUCAGCCACUCUGGAACUGAGACACGGUCCAGACUCCUACGGGAGGCAGCAGUGGGGAAUAUUGGACAAUGGGCGCAAGCCUGAUCCAGCCAUACCGCGUGGGUGAAGAAGGCCUUCGGGUUGUAAAGCCCUUUUGUUGGGAAAGAAAAGCAGCAGGUUAAUACCCCGCUGUUCUGACGGUACCCAAAGAAUAAGCACCGGCUAACUUCGUG